GAUGAACGCUGGCGGCGUGCCUAAUACAUGCAAGUCGAGCGAACAGACAAGGAGCUUGCUCCUUUGACGUUAGCGGCGGACGGGUGAGUAACACGUGGGUAACCUACCUAUAAGACUGGGAUAACUUCGGGAAACCGGAGCUAAUACCGGAUAAUAUUUCGAACCGCAUGGUUCGAUAGUGAAAGAUGGUUUUGCUAUCACUUAUAGAUGGACCCGCGCCGUAUUAGCUAGUUGGUAAGGUAACGGCUUACCAAGGCGACGAUACGUAGCCGACCUGAGAGGGUGAUCGGCCACACUGGAGCUGAGACACGGUCCAGACUCCUACGGGAGGCAGCAGUAGGGAAUCUUCCGCAAUGGGCGAAAGCCUGACGGAGCAACGCCGCGUGAGUGAUGAAGGUCUUCGGAUCGUAAAACUCUGUUAUUAGGGAAGAACAUACGUGUAAGUAACUAUGCACGUCUUGACGGUACCUAAUCAGAAAGCCACGGCUAACUACGUGCCAGCAGCCGCGGUAAUACGUAGGUGGCAAGCGUUAUCCGGAAUUAUUGGGCGUAAAGCGCGCGUAGGCGGUUUUUUAAGUCUGAUGUGAAAGCCCACGGCUCAACCGUGGAGGGUCAUUGGAAACUGUAAAACUUGAGUGCAGAAGAGGAAAGUGGAAUUCCAUGUGUAGCGGUGAAAUGCGCAGAGAUAUGGAGGAACACCAGUGGCGAAGGCGACUUUCUGGUCUGUAACUGACGCUGAUGUGCGAAAGCGUGGGGAUCAAACAGGAUUAGAUACCCUGGUAGUCCACGCCGUAAACGAUGAGUGCUAAGUGUUAGGGGGUUUCCGCCCCUUAGUGCUGCAGCUAACGCAUUAAGCACUCCGCCUGGGGAGUACGACCGCAAGGUUGAAACUCAAAGGAAUUGACGGGGACCCGCACAAGCGGUGGAGCAUGUGGUUUAAUUCGAAGCAACGCGAAGAACCUUACCAAAUCUUGACAUCCUUUGACAACUCUAGAGAUAGAGCCUUCCCCUUCAGGGGACAAAGUGACAGGUGGUGCAUGGUUGUCGUCAGCUCGUGUCGUGAGAUGUUGGGUUAAGUCCCGCAACGAGCGCAACCCUUAAGCUUAGUUGCCAUCAUUAAGUUGGGCACUCUAAGUUGACUGCCGGUGACAAACCGGAGGAAGGUGGGGAUGACGUCAAAUCAUCAUGCCCCUUAUGAUUUGGGCUACACACGUGCUACAAUGGACAAUACAAAGGGCAGCGAAACCGCGAGGUCAAGCAAAUCCCAUAAAGUUGUUCUCAGUUCGGGUUGUAGUCUGCAACUCGACUACAUGAAGCUGGAAUCGCUAGUAAUCGUAGAUCAGCAUGCUACGGUGAAUACGUUCCCGGGUCU
rnacentral:rRNA from 1 species